UAGAACUGAUCCACAGUCUCAGAGUAAUACUCUUCUGCUUUGGAAUUGAAUUCUUUCCCGAAAACUGACCAAUUUGCUGGUUUUCUGUUAAGGGAAAAAGAUACGCUGACUCUGCAACACUGAUCGUGAAUCUUCAACAGCCCGUCAACUUUCUCUCCGUCUCCGUCGACAAAAUUGAAUCUUUAAUUAAUUUCCCAACUGGCCUUUAAAAAUUUGAUGGUUUCUGAAGUAGUUUGGUGGUGGUUUUUGAAAUUCAAUGUUGAAUUGAUGUGUGUAUACAUAUAUGGAUUUAAUCAUGAUUCUAUAGAAUUGCAUUUUCUCUCUGCUUUCUGUUUUGUCAUGAAGAUAUUUAUCAAUUGUAAAUCUAGGAUGGUCUUGAUCGAUUGGGUUUUCUAGAUGGCUAAAUUACAAGUCUGUUGUCUUUAUAAUUACAAAAUUUGACAAACUAAAUGGAAAAGGUAGAUAAUUCGGUUGUUUACUUGAUCUGUGCACAAAGGGUAGAUAAUUUUGGAGCUUCUGGGAAUUGAAGGAGGAAGAACAUAGUAUUAAAACAAAUUGAUAGAUGUAUGAAGCUGUGUUUUUGGUUGCGUUUUACAACUGGGUAAUUGGUGCAUGAUAGCCAUCAUGUUUCUUAUUCUUUUGUCUGGUUUUGUUAAAGGUUGGAGGUAGAGAGCUAGGUUGCUUCUGAUCGGUGGUGUACUUAUCAUUUGUCAUACCUCUACAGAAGCUACAUAGGUUUCAAUUCCCAUACAGAUCAUUUGUACUUAUCAUUUGCCAUACCUCUACAGAUGCUACAUAGCUUUCUUUCUCUGCUGCUCUGAAAAGAAAAUCCAAACUCCCAAGUCAAGAUGAGUAUGGCUAUCAAUCAUUGUGGCGGUUACAGCAUUAAUAAGUCUUUCACUACUUCAAGCUAGAAGCUUGCCCGCAAUACAAGUCAUGUAUACUGGCGUGGCGGUUACAGCAUUAAUAAGUCUUUCACUACUUCAAGCUAGAAGCUUGCCCGCAAUACAAGUCAUGGUAGAUAUAUGGUGCCUGUCGGAGUGCUGAAGAGACAUUCUACACCUCAGGAUGUUUGCCAAGAUUUUGCGCCAUUGGCAAAGAAUGAUGGAAGCAGUAGCUUUCAAAUUAAGACAUUUGCAAAUGCCAUAGCAGCACAUGUGUACCUAAUUGGAGCAGAAUUGCUCAUGUAUGUAGCUGGUUAACAUACCAGAUUUUCGAAUCUGUAAAAGAUACUCUGAUUACUAAUAUAAUGUUUCGAACGUUUCUA